rnacentral:rRNA from 1 species
UGGGCACUCUAAGGAGACUGCCGGUGAACAAACCGGAGGAAGGGUGGGGAUGACGUCAAGUCAUCAUCGGCCCUUACGGCCGUGGGCUACACACGUGCUACAAUGGUCGGUACAAAGGGUUGCCAAGCCGCGAGGUGGAGCUAAUCCCAUAAAACCGAUCGUAGUCCGGAUCGCAGUCUGCAACUCGACUGCGUGAAGUCGGAAUCGCUAGUAAUCGUGAAUCAGAAUGUCACGGUGAAUACGUUCCCGGGCCUU